rnacentral:rRNA from 1 species
UACGUAGGGUGCGAGCGUUGUCCGGAAUUAUUGGGCGUAAAGGGCUCGUAGGCGGUUUGUCGCGUCGGGAGUGAAAACCCAGGGCUUAACCCCGGGUCUGCAUUCGAUACGGGCUAGCUAGAGUGUGGUAGGGGAGAUCGGAAUUCCUGGUGUAGCGGUGAAAUGCGCAGAUAUCAGGAGGAACACCGGUGGCGAAGGCGGUUCUCUGGGCCUUACCUGACGCUGAGGAGCGAAAGCAUGGGGAGCAAACAGG